AGAGGGUGGCGGUGCUCAGCUGCCACACCUCUGAACAAUAAACACUAAUUGCUCAAUGACCUGCAGCUGGAAGUGGCCAUUACCAGCAACAAAUUGGGGAGCAUAAAUAAAAUGUAGACAGAAAGUUGUAAGCUACAAGACAGUGAGUCCUCUCAAGUCCAAUUCCAGUCUGCGUGUUGCCAGCACCUGUGAAGUCUUUAGUGCUGUUCUCAAUCAGAAGUCAUGGCUCUUGGACUCCUUUUGUGGGUUCCCUGGAUUUCUUUGCUGUUGGACAGCAGUAGCCUUUAUUGAAGGGCAAGGGACCAUAUACCGCUAAACUCAUGACAAGAUAAACCUUGUGGAUGUAAAUGACUUCUCAGACUCUCUGUCCUUGGAUGAAGGGGAAGGAGAGCUGUUGAGUAACGAGCUGUCCAGAAUUGUAAACGAAGAAUACAAGAAAUCUCCAGCAGCACAGACCUUGAAAUUUUCAGUCAACCAAAAUAUGGUUGUGAGACCACAUGCUACUGUGGAGAGAAGUGUUCAUGGCACUUCUAGACAAUGGGAGUCAAAUGUCUUUGAGCCAAUCGCAUUUCCUCUGCAAUCUGGCAGGUAGAUCAAACUCAGCCCAUCCUUGAUUAUUAAGCUGUCAACACAUCUAGCUGUCCAUGAAAUCAGAAAGCCUGCCCCUCCCAGCCUUAGUGAGACUACAACUUCUGAGUCUUUGCAGCAUCUGCCUCCUAGCAGAGAAGGAGUGGGUGAACCGGUAACUGGUUCUACUCACCAAGAGGCGGACUCUAAUGAUAUAGGUCCUGGAUUUCUACGUACUGCUUCUUCCUACCAGGGUUCAAAUAUGGUAGAGGUUUUACCUAGCUAUAUUCCCAGUCAAAGAAAACCAUCUCAGCAAUGUGAACCUGAAAUUUCCAAACCUCAAAGUUUAGCUUGGAGUACACCAGAGUGGUUUGGCCAUGGUAAUUAAAUUGAUAUUUCACUUAACUCAGCUCUCCCAAACUGGCUUGGCUUUCCUCAUACUGAUGCCUGGUUUCCAAAACCGUACGUCGCUCCAGCCCAACUUCACAUACAACUAUAUGGCUCCUAGAGUUGGAUCUCUCCCAAAAGCCCCUGAGCCACCCAGACCUCUGACACAUCGUAAAAGCUUCAUCAUUCAGUCCAAGAAUGGCUACCAGUGCCAAAAGCUUCUUGAAUCCAAAACUACCUACACACCAGACUACAAGGUGGCAAAGGGGAAAUAUGGCAAGAGUAUGAAGGUCUUGAGGGGAACGGUGCAGAAAGACUGCUCUUGCAAAAUCUAAGUGCCAAGACUGGCCUGCCUUUGAGAAGUCUUCAUUUGUAGGGGAAAAAUAAAACUUUUAGCAAGUUCA